AUUCCAUGUUGGGGACAUUCUAGGAUGUAGUCUUGGAAGCGCUCCCAUGCUUCUGAAACGGAUUCAUCAUGUUGUUGGUAGUAUUCUUCUCUUUUGUAGCGU
rnacentral:snoRNA from 1 species